GUCCACGCUGUAAACGAUGUCAACUAGCCGUUGGGCCUAUAUACAGGUUUAGUGGCGCAGCUAACGCAUUAAGUUGACCGCCUGGGGAGUACGGCCGCAAGGUUAAACUCAAAUGAAUUGACGGGGGCCCGCACAAGCGGUGGAGCAUGUGGUUUAAUUCGAUGCAACGCGAAGAACCUUACCUACCCUUGACAUCCAGAGAAUCUGUUAGAGAUAGUAGAGUGCCUUCGGGAACUCUGAGACAGGUGCUGCAUGGCUGUCGU
rnacentral:rRNA from 1 species